rnacentral:rRNA from 1 species
UACGUAGGUGGCAAGCGUUGUCCGGAUUUACUGGGUGUAAAGGGCGUGUAGCCGGGCUGACAAGUCAGAUGUGAAAUCCGGGGGCUCAACCCCUGAACUGCAUUUGAAACUGUUGGUCUUGAGUAUCGGAGAGGCAGGCGGAAUUCCUAGUGUAGCGGUGAAAUGCGUAGAUAUAACUUAGAACUCCGAUCGCGAAGGCAGCUUACCAGACUGUAACUGACGCUGAAGCACGAGAGCGUGGGUAGCAAACAGG